AAGUUCCAUCACAAAGGUUAAGGUUGGAAAUUAGGAGACAUUUCUUCUCAGAAAGAGUAGUCAGGCAUUGGAAUGGAUUGCCCAGGGAGGUAGUGGCAUCACUGUCCCUGGGGGUGUUCAAGGAAAGGUAGGAUGUGGUGCCUAGGGACAAUGGGUUACUAGAUGAAAUUUGU